rnacentral:rRNA from 1 species
UGGGGAAUAUUGGACAAUGGGGGCAACCCUGAUCCAGCCAUGCCGCGUGAGUGAUGAAGGCCUUCGGGUUGUAAAGCUCUUUUGGCGGGGACGAUGAUGACGGUACCCGCAGAAUAAGCCCCGGCUAACUUCGUGCCAGCAGCCGCGGUAAGACGAAGGGGGCUAGCGUUGUUCGGAAUUACUGGGCGUAAAGCGAGUGUAGGCGGUUGCCGUAGUCAGGUGUGAAAGCCUUGAGCUCAACUCAAGAAAUGCACUUGAUACUGGGUGACUAGAGGACCGGAGAGGAUAGUGGAAUUCCCAGUGUAGUGGUGAAAUACGUAGAGAUUGGGAAGAACACCAGUGGCGAAGGCGGCUAUCUGGACGGUUACUGACGCUAAGACUCGAAAGCGUGGGGAGCAAACAGGAUUAGAUACCCUGGUAGUCCACGCCGUAAACGAUGGGUGCUAGACGUUGGCGAGCUUGUCGUCAGUGUCGCAGCUAAC